GUUGAAUCAGAAUUCUGAAGAAAAAUAUGUCACAUUCAACAAAUUAAUUGCAAUGGUUUAAAGAUGGAGGCUUCCAAGGUGGCUCAGUGGUAAAGAACCCACAUGCCAGUGCAGGAGAUGCAAGAUACCUGGGUUCAAUCCCUGGGUGGGGAAGAUCCCCCAGAGGAGGAUAUGGCAACCCACUCCAGUAUUCUUGCCUGCAGAAUCCCAUGGACAGAAGAGCCUGGUGGGCUACAUUCUGUGAGGUCACAAAGAGUCAGACAUGACUAAGCAUGCAUACACACACAAAGAUGGAAUUGUUUAUAAAGAUACAGAGAGAGAUAAGAAGAUCCACAAGGGUUGGUUAAGCAUUCAAGAACUAGCUACAUUAAGGUGCAUAGUCACCCAACUGGAUGACCGAAAGGACAGCAAAAGGGAACAGAGUGUCUCCAGUAUGAUGGCAGCUGUGGCCAGUGGAGUGUAGCUCAGUUGGAAUUCCAUCACCUCCACUAGCUUUGUUUGUAGUAAUGCUUCCUAAGACCCUCUUGACUUCACACUCCAGGAUGUCUGGCUCUAGGUGAGUGACCUUACCAUUAUGGUUAUCCCAGUCAUUAAGACCUUUUUUUGCAUAGUUCUUCUGAGUAGUCUUGUAACCUCUUCUUAAUCUCUUCUGCUUCUCUUAGGUCCUUACCGUUUCUGUCCUUUAUUAUGUCCAUCUUUGCAUGAAAUUUUCCCUUAACAUCUCCAAUUUUCUCGAAUAAGCCUCUAGUCUUUCCCAUUCUAUUUUUUUCCCUUUACUUCUUUGCAUUGUACAUAUCACAUCCAGAGUUAUAUAGAAUAGUGAUCACCAGCUCCAUUUUAUAUGUGAACAAAUGAGACUUCUAGAAGAUUAAUAACAUGCAGCAGUUCCUACAUCUGUAAGUAAUGGAUUCAGAAUUGUCCCUGAAGUCUAACUUAACCUGGAAGCCUAUAUGGGUCAGUACUGGACUUCUCUCUAUUCUCAUACAGUGUCUAUCACUGAGCUAUCACUGGAAGGAAAGAAAGCUCUACCUUUGUAAACUGAGGGUUUUCCUAUAAGCAGGAUUGAUAAAUGACACAAAUCUGAAAGAGCAGCAGUCCAGACUGGAGGUUGCACAGUUUUUAUAUUGUUGGCAUUUACUCACAGAAACAUUCUCAUACUUUUGAAGGAAAUACAGCUUUUUUUUUUCAUUUGAAUUCCAUUUACAUAUCUUAUAAUUUUGACAUAAUAGAUUAGCUGUUGUGUGCAACGUCUGUGGCCAUAGACUUGGCCAUUCAUUGAUUAUAGUAACUUAGUCAAGGUACUCAGACUCUCUGUGCCUCAUUUUCUCUGCUCCAUAUGUAAGAUAUGGGCAAUGACUGUACCUACCUGACAAAUAUUUUAAUAUCAAAUGCAUCCAUUUAUGUGAAUUGCUUAUCACAGUGCCUCACAUGUAAUAUAUGUGGUAUAAAUGAUGAUUCUUACCAAGGGUAAGCUGUUUGUUUUGCCUUUGGAGAAUGAUCUGUCCUUUUCGUGGCAAGGUUAGCAGGUAUGACUUCAUUUAAUCCUAACAGCCCUAUAAAGUAUUUCAUUUUUCAUACGGAGAAACUGAGGCACAACAAAGAAACUAAACAAUUUCUACAAGGUGUCAACUCUCAGCUACCAGAUCUUGUGACUAUUGGCGGAGUGUUAUUUCAUCCCUCCUAAUUUCUAAACGUUCAGGAAUUUCAUGCAGACAUGGCUUCAAUGUGCAACACAGUGCUUCUUUCAGAAAAGAGCAUCUUGAGGAUCACUCAGAGGGCUCACAGAUCACACAAAGGCCCCUCAGCCUUCAGCAUGGAUAGGCAACUUCCAAUAAUUAGCAGGCUGCAUCUUUGUUUUCUAGUUAAGAUAUCUAAGCAAUUUCUUCUCUCCAAAUCUUUUGAUAUGGUAAUACAUCAGGGUCACUUCCAGCUGAAUUUUUAUGGAUAUAAUUACCUGCAAGCACAGGUGACAUACUUUCUGCUUUCCUGUCUGAUUUAUAAAUCAAAGCUUCGGCUCAACUUGGACAUCAAAGAUGUUAUUUAACCUUUCAGAUAUUACCUUUUAUUCUUAAAGAAAAGAGAAAAGCUCAAAAAAAUCAGUUUUUAAAUUACCUUUUUAUUCAAUUUCAUUACGCUUUGGAAACAGAUUUUUUUUUUUUAAUGCAGUCACUCAGCUGAACAGUUUAAUGAGCAAGCCUUGCCAGCAGAUGUUUGGCAUUAGUGAAAUUAGUGAAAACACAGUUUUAUGUGAAUCAGUCUAAAAAUUCAUCCAGAUUGUUUGAGUGUGAUAAUGUAUAGAUCCUCUCUUCCAACUGACCCAUCUCCUCCCUGAUUCCCAUGUAAACAUUCAACGAAUUCUAAGUACCAAAACAACUGAAUUCACUUGAAAACUGUGGUUUAUUUACUAAAUGAUGCUAUGACAGUCAGUUAAUCAUUAUUCAAUAAAAAUGCUUGAGGCCUACCUCAUUCUACAAAACCAUAAAUUCCAAGUGAACUUAAUAAUUAAAUCAUUUAAUAAAACAAUAAAGAAGACAAUAAAAGUAAACGUGUGCUGGUAUGCUGUAGAGGGAAGCAUUUGCUUGCUUUGAAGAAAAAGAAUGUAAAUCAUGAAGAAAAAUUGGAAAAAAAUGUAAAGCUUCUGAGCCAAAAAUAUACUGUAAAUAAAAUUUAAAGAUAAUGAACAAUGUAAACACACACUCAAAAUUCUAAAUAUAGAACAAAAUUCAGUAUCUGUUAAAACAAAACAAAAUGCCCCAAUAAAAUCAGCAACAAAAAGUGGACAAAGGAAGAAAAGAAACAGAAACGAUCAAAAAGUUAUGAAAAAGUUCAGUUUCAUUAGUACCAAAUAAAUGCCAUUUUAUUGUUAUCUAUCAUGAAAGUAAGUGGAAUACAGGAGCGUAAAAAUGAAACAACAAAAGUGGAACUGCUCUGUUAUUAUAUUUGGAAAAUAAUAAGAGUGUGAUCUCAGGUUAGUGACAUUAUUGAUUUUAAUUUUUCAUAUGUUUGUUUUUCAAAAUAACUGACAAAUAUUUUAAUAACCAGAAGAACACAUAUGUUGUUAUAAAUUUUCAUACAGAUAACACUCUGAGUAUUUCCACUAAAAGGCCAAAUGCGUAUUUUCAUGAUGAUCUCAGUGAUCACCAAGAUUCAGAUCCAUCUCAAACUGACAAUUUCAUGAGAUACUGGCAAGCAACUUGCAACAACUCUACCAUCAGACUUUUAUCGACAGUAUUAUACAGAACAAGCAAUGGAACAUGAAAAAAAGAGUGGAGCUGGCUUCAGGGUUAUCUCUAGCUACCCUCAGAGGAAAUAGUUUAAUACGACUUUGAAAAACUUCCAUCUGGCUGAAUUUAGCUGUGGAACUCACAUUUGGUCAGUUAGUAUUCUAUAAGACCUAUUAGUAUAGGCUGUGUGAGUCCAGAACUAGCUUAAGCCAUACCUUUUCUUUAAACUCUUCUGGCUAACCGACCUACUUGCUGAUUAAGGUGACCUCCUGGGGCUCACAGGGCACACCGUGUCUCCCUUUAUCCCAGAACAUAUGGUAUCAUCUUGUUCAUCAUUUACUCUUUUUUCAUAUGAGAUGAUUACGACUUUGAGUAUAAAGUUAUGAUGUACUGUCUUAUUUAUCUUUUUGUACGUGAUUUAUAUAAGGGUAUGAGAUCUGUAGUAGUUAAACUGUUG
ensembl:lncRNA